CAUGGGCUGGGGCAGGACUCCACAGUCACUCAUCCAAUAAUUGACAUCCCCACCCAAUAUAUAUGCAGCCAGCAGGUACAAUGUACCAACACCACAUUCAAAAUGAGGCUUUCUAGCAUCACCCCAUUCUUCAUCUUUUUAACUCUAGGACUCUGUUUCAUCACAAGUUAUUGCUCUUCAAAUGAUCCACUCCUUUCACUUCAAGCAAGAAGAGGCCUCAGGACACUAGAUGACGCACACGCCAAAAUCAACAAGGUGGAUGGAAAUGCAUGGAGGUCUACUAUGUCAACAGCAUAUGAGGCAAUCAAUGAUGAAGACUCAGAGAUCGUUUACCACAUCGAUUAUCAAGGUGUGAAAACUCACCCGAACCCGACUCCCAAGCAUCCAUAAGAAGUCGAUCGGUUCUGCACCCAAAAUCUAGAAUCCAGAUAUAGCUGUAUCAUAUAUACCAUGUACCGACUCAUAUAUUUACAAAACUGGUUUCACAUACCUUUCUUUAAUCUUCGGUUUCCCAUUAGGGCAUACACAAGACUAGGCUUAACAAGAGAAAUGUUAGCAACUCGAAUUAUUCAUAGUUAUUAAAGGCAAUAAUUUCGACCCAUUUACCCAUCGGGGUAUGUUUAAUGCAUAAAGGGGGUUACGGCGCAGUUUGUUGCCCGUUUACCUGCCAUUCUUAUGUAUUUUUUCCAUCAAGAUUCAAUUCAAAACUUUCCAAGUUUAUAUGCA